GGGUCAGUAGGUUGGUCGUGCCACCGGUACGUACUGGUCUCACUGAUUCCUCCUUCCUGAAGAACCGUAAUGCCAUUAAUUUGGUGUUGCGGGGAAACAGGACUGUUACUUUGAAAAAAUUAGAGUGUUUAAAACAAGCUAACGCUUGAAUACAUUAGCAUGGAGUAAUGAAAUAGGACGAUCGAUCCUAUUUUGUUGGUUUCUAGGAUUGACGUA
rnacentral:rRNA from 1 species